rnacentral:rRNA from 1 species
CCACAUAAGCGGAUUAAAAAAUAGGGGAUGCAAUGGGCGCAGCCUGAUGCAGCCAUGCCGCGUGUGUGAAGAAGGCCUUCGGGUUGUAAAGCACUUUCAGUCGUGAGGAAGGUAGUGUAGUUAAUAGCUGCAUUAUUUGACGUUAGCGACAGAAGAAGCACCGGCUAACUCCGUGCCAGCAGCCGCGGUAAUACGGAGGGUGCGAGCGUUAAUCGGAAUUACUGGGCGUAAAGCGCAUGCAGGUGGUUUGUUAAGUCAGAUGUGAAAGCCCGGGGCUCAACCUCGGAAUUGCAUUUGAAACUGGCAGACUAGAGUACUGUAGAGGGGGGUAGAAUUUCAGGUGUAGCGGUGAAAUGCGUAGAGAUCUGAAGGAAUACCGGUGGCGAAGGCGGCCCCCUGGACAGAUACUGACACUCAGAUGCGAAAGCGUGGGGAGCAAACAGGAUUAGAUACCCUGGUAGUCCACGCCGUAAACGAUGUCUACUUGGAGGUUGUGGCCUUGAGCCGUGGCUUUCGGAGCUAACGCGUUAAGUAGACCGCCUGGGGAGUACGGUCGCAAGAUUAAAACUCAAAUGAAUUGACGGGGGCCCGCACAAGCGGUGGAGCAUGUGGUUUAAUUCGAUGCAACGCGAAGAACCUUACCUACUCUUGACAUCCAGAGAACUUUCCAGAGAUGGAUUGGUGCCUUCGGGAACUCUGAGACAGGUGCUGCAUGGCUGUCGUCAGCUCGUGUUGUGAAAUGUUGGGUUAAGUCCCGCAACGAGCGCAACCCUUAUCCUUGUUUGCCAGCGAGUAAUGUCGGGAACUCCAGGAGACUGCCGGUGAUAAACCGGAGGAAGGUGGGGACGACGUCAGUCAUCAUGCCCUUACGAGUAGGGCUACACACGUGCUACAAUGGCGCAUACAGAGGGCAGCCAACUGCGAAGUGAGCGGAUUCCCAAAAAGUGCGUCGUAGUCGGAUGGGAGUCUGCAACUCGACUCCAUGAAGUCGGAUCCGCUAGUAAUCGUGGAUCAAAUGCCACGGUGAAUACGUCCCGGGCCUGUACCCACCGCCCGUCACACCAUGGGAGUGGGCUGCAAAAGAAGUAGGUAGUUUAACCUUCGGGGGACGCUUACACUUGUGUUCCUGAAUGGGGGUGAAGUCUAACACGAGUACCGAAUU